GAUGAACGCUGGCGGCGUGCCUAACACAUGCCAGUCGAGCGAACAGAUGAGGAGCUUGCUCCUCUGACGUUAGCGGCGGACGGGAGAGUAACACGUGGAUAACCUACCUAUAAGACUGGGAUACCUUCGCGAAACCGGAGCUAAUACCGGAUAAUAUAUUGAACUGCAUGGUUCAAUAGUGAAAGACGGUUUUGCUGUGACUUAUAGACGGAUCCGCGCCGCAUUAGCUAGUUGGUAAGGUAACGGCUUACCAAGGCAACGAUGCGUAGCCGACCUGAGAGGGUGAUCGGCCACACUGGAAGUGAGGCACGGUCCACACUCCUACGGGAGGCAGCAGUCGGGAAUCUUCCGCGAUGGGCGAGAGCCUGACGGAGCAACGGCGCGUGAGUGAUGAAGGUCUUCGGAUCGUAAAACUAUGUUAUUAGGGAAGAACAAAUGUGUAAGUAACUAUGAACGUCUUGACGGUACCUGAUCAGAAAGCCACGGCUAACUACGUG
rnacentral:rRNA from 1 species